GUGUGCGGCUGUGCCGUGUGUUUGCUGUGUGUGGCUGUGCCGUGUGGCUGUGCCGUGUGGCUGUGCCGUGUGUGGCUGUGCCGUGUGUGGCUGUGCCGUGUGUGGCUGUGCCGUGUGGCUGUGCCGUGUGUGGCUGUGCCGUGUGGCUGUGCCGUGUGUGGCUGUGCCGUGUGGCUGUGCUCUGUGGCUGUGCUGUGUGUGGCUGUGCCGUGUGUGGCUGUGCUCUGUGGCUGUGCCGUGUGGCUGUGCCGUGUGGCUGUGCUCUGUGGCUGUGCCGUGUGUGGCUGUGCCGUGUGGCUGUGCCCUGCUGUGUCACUGUCAUGCUGUCCCAGUUCAGGGCUGCUGGGGGAUUCUGUGUGGGUGUGCCAUGUCACACUGUCACUCUGGGCCGUGCCGGUUCGCAGGUGCUGGGGACGUUGUGUCACUGCUGGUUCAUGUCAUGGGGCCGUGCUGUGCCAUGUCACGCUGUCACACUGUGCCGUGUGAUGCCAGCUCUCAUGCUGGGCCAGGCCGUGUCACGCCGUGUGCUGGCGAGGUGCUGGGUGACACCGCAGUGGCAGCAGCAGUGGCAGCGGUGGUGGCAGCGUCACUCACGCAAUGUACUGCUCCGUCUUGUUGAACUUCUUGGCCAGGUACUUGGCCGAGGCCUUGCUGGGGAUCUUCACCAUGGAGAGCUCUUUGCCGUAGCGCACCAUGGCGCAGGGCGUGCGGCACGCGCAGUACUCGCUGUCCUUCGUCACCAGGAAGUCUGGGGGGGCGUGGGUGGGACGGGGACCCCCGGGACCCCUGCCCACGGGGGGAGGCAGGAUGCUCCGGGGGCAGAGCUGGCUGGUGGUGGGUGCCACCCGGGACAGGUGUGCCACGCGUGCCGUGGGUGGCACAGGGAGGGGGCCCCGCCCUGCGCAUCUGGGGACAGCGGUGACCCCCACCCCAGCCAGGGCACGGGGACACCGGGGCCACACUCACAGUGCCGGGGACAUGGGGCCACACUCACAGUGCCAGGGACACCGGGGACACCGGGGCCACACUCACAGGGCCGGGGACAUGGGGACACCGGGGUCACACU
rnacentral:lncRNA from 1 species